UACGUAGGGUGCAAGCGUUGUCCGGAAUUAUUGGGCGUAAAGAGCUUGUAGGCGGCUUUGCAAGUCGGGUGUGAAAUCCCCAGGCUUAACCUGGGAACUGCAUUCGAGACUGCAUUGCUAGAGUAUGGGAGAGGGAAGUGGAAUUUCCGGUGUAGCGGUGAAAUGCGUAGAUAUCGGAAGGAACAUCAGUGGCGAAAGCGACUUCCUGGACCAAUACUGACGCUCAUGUGCGAAAGCGUGGGGAGCAAACAGG
rnacentral:rRNA from 1 species